CAAGCGUUAAUCGGAAUUACUGGGCGUAAAGCGCACGCAGGCGGUCUGUUAAGUUCAGAUGUGAAAUCCCCGGGCUUAACCUGGGAACUGCAUUUGAAACUGGCAGGCUUGAGUCUCGUAGAGGGGGGUAGAAUUCCAGGUGUAGCGGUGAAAUGCGUAGAGAUCUGGAGGAAUACCGGUGGCGAAGGCGGCCCCCUGGACGAAGAUGACGCUCAGGUGCGAAAGCGUGGGGAGCAAACAGGAUUAGAUACCCUGGUAGUCCACGCCGUAAACGAUGUCGACUUGGAGGUUGUUCCCUUGAGGAGUGGCUUCCGGAGCUAACGCGUUAAGUCGACCGCCUGGGGAGUACGGCCGCAAGGUUAAAACUCAAAUGAAUUGACGGGGGCCCGCACAAGCGGUGGAGCAUGUGGUUUAAUUCGAUGCAACGCGAAGAACCUUACCUACUCUUGACAUCCAGAGAACUUAGCAGAGAUGC
rnacentral:rRNA from 1 species